rnacentral:rRNA from 1 species
CAGCCGCCGCGGUAACACGAAGGGGGCUAGCGUUGUUCGGAUUUACUGGGCGUAAAGCGCACGUAGGCGGGCUUUUAAGUCAGGGGUGAAAUCCCGGGGCUCAACCCCGGAACUGCCUUUGAUACUGGAAGUCUUGAGUAUGGUAGAGGUGAGUGGAAUUCCGAGUGUAGAGGUGAAAUUCGUAGAUAUUCGGAGGAACACCAGUGGCGAAGGCGGCUCACUGGACCAUUACUGACGCUGAGGUGCGAAAGCGUGGGGAGCAAACAGGAUUAGAUACCCCGGUAGUCCCUGUCUCUUAUAC